rnacentral:lncRNA from 1 species
GUGUGUGUGUGUGUGUGUGUGUGUGUGCGCCCCCCAUCCCCUGCGGAAGGGAGGAGGAAGGCAGAGGGAGAAACAUUUGGUCCCAGAGCCCCCGACGUCCCUCGCAGACAGAACCCUCAGUCCCGACAGAGCGAGAACAAAAAGCUACAUUGGCGAGAGAAACCAGAGGCGGCUGCAGAAACACAAAGAAACCGAGACGUCGGGACGCGGCUCCGGCAGAGGUAAGGGAUGCUGGGGGAGAGAGACGCGCGCGCACCGGGGCCACGUGGUGGUGGUGAUGGAGGGGGGGGGGGGGGGGGGUGUUUGGCCCCACCCCCCCCUCAGAUGGCCUCCACGUAGUUGGCUGGCAGCAUUCCUGUUUUCCCAGUUCUCUGAACAGUACCAUACAUCCAGCCAUCAUCAAUUGGUUGCACGUUGAUGAUGGUGUCACCAUCCUUGAAGGAAACCUCGUCCUCAUCGGCCGCGUUGUAAUCAUAGACGGCACGGAAACGCUUCCCUGCUGCGGACGGUGCACUGCGCUGCGUGGAGGCGGGCGCUGCGGGCUCCUUGUAGCCAUAGGACUGCGAGGCCGGCGGCUGCUGUUGGUACACCGGGUUGCUGGGCUGGACGUGGUGCUGUGGUUGGUGCUGCUCCGGCCGUCGGUAAUUGGCGCUUUCCUGGGAGUUCCUGCGCUCCAUCUCUGCGCCCUCGCUGGGGCUGGGGCCCAUCCUGCUCCUCUCAAACUCUUCAUGGUAUUUGAUGUUGCUGAUCUGAUCCUGAGUCUUUUUGAUUCUCUGCAGCUCCGGGGUGUCGGCCACCACGCUGAAGCCUUUCCCCUUGUUCUUCUCAAACUCCUCCUUGUAGCGAAUCUGGCUCUGCAGCUCGCUCUGCUGCUUUAGGCGCAGGUUCUCGGGAGUGUCUGCCACCAUGGUGAAGGAUUGCUUCGGGUAGUGUGCAUUGCAGUAGGGCUUCUUCUCGUAGCCCUUGUAGUUCUUCAUGUUGAGGGUCAUCUUGCAGGUCUCGCAGUGGAAGCAUGCUUUGUGCCAGAACUUAUCCAGGCAGUUCACCUUCUCGGUGGGAUAUACGAUCUUCCCGCAACGCGCGCAGUUGGGGUUCAUGGCCGCCCCGCUCCCCCCGCCGCCACCGCCGCGUCCGCCUCUGGGCCGCCGCCCGCGCGCCGCGCCCCUAAAUACGGGGGGGGGGGGGAGGGAGGGGGGGCGGCGGGGGCGCGCGGGGCGGGGCGGCGGCGCGCGCCCACCCACGCGCAUCGCCCCGCCGCCCUCACGCGCGCUCCCGCACUCCUUUGCACGCGCGCUGUGCCGUCCCCCUCAGUGCGCGCAAAUCGCUG